GACGAACGCUGGCGGCGUGCUUAACACAUGCAAGUCGAACGGAAAGGCCCUGCUUUUGUGGGGUGCUCGAGUGGCGAACGGGUGAGUAACACGUGAGUAACCUGCCCUUGACUUUGGGAUAACUUCAGGAAACUGGGGCUAAUACCGGAUAGGAGCUCCUGCUGCAUGGUGGGGGUUGGAAAGUUUCGGCGGUUGGGGAUGGACUCGCGGCUUAUCAGCUUGUUGGUGGGGUAGUGGCUUACCAAGGCUUUGACGGGUAGCCGGCCUGAGAGGGUGACCGGCCACAUUGGGACUGAGCUACGGCCCGGACUCCUACGGGAGGCAGCAGUGGGGAAUAUUGCACAAUGGGCGGAAGCCUGAUGCAGCAACGCCGCGUGCGGGAUGACGGCCUUCUGGUUGUAAACCGCUUUCGCCUGUGACGAAGCGUGAGUGACGGUAAUGGGUAAAGAAGCACCGGCUAACUACGUG
rnacentral:rRNA from 1 species